rnacentral:tRNA from 1 species
GGGGAUUUAGCUCAGCGGAAGAGCGCUUGCCUGGUGAGCACAAGGCCCUGGGUUCGGUCCCCAGCUCCG